rnacentral:rRNA from 1 species
GACGAACGCUGCGGCGUGCUACACCAUGCAAGUAGACGCUGAAGAGAGGAGCUGCUCUUCUUGGAUGAAGUUGCGACGGGUGAAGUAACGCGUAGGUACCUUGCCUUGUACGGGGAAUAACUAUUGGAACGAUAGCUUAAUACCGCAUAACAAUGGAUGACACAUGUCAUUUAUUUGAAAGGGGCAAUUGCUCCACUACAAGAUGGACCUGCGUUGUAUUAGCUAGUAGGUGAGGUAACGGCUCACCUAGGCGACGAUACAUAGCCGACCUGAGAGGGUGAUCGGCCACACUGGGACUGAGACACGGCCCAGACUCCUACGGGAGGCAGCAGUAGGGAAUCUUCGGCAAUGGGGGCAACCCUGACCGAGCAACGCCGCGUGAGUGAAGAAGGUUUUCGGAUCGUAAAGCUCUGUUGUAAGUCAAGAACGAGUGUGAGAGUGGAAAGUUCACACUGUGACGGUAGCUUACCAAAA